CGAAGGGGGCUAGCGUUGCUCGGAAUCACUGGGCGUAAAGGGCGCGUAGGCGGCCAGACAAGUCAGGGGUGAAAGCCUGUGGCUCAACCACAGAAUUGCCUUUGAUACUGUUUGGCUCGAGACCGGAAGAGGUUGGUGGAACUGCGAGUGUAGAGGUGAAAUUCGUAGAUAUUCGCAAGAACACCGGUGGCGAAGGCGGCCAACUGGUCCGGUUCUGACGCUGAGGCGCGAAAGCGUGGGGAGCAAACAGGAUUAGAUACCCUGGUAGUCCACGCCGUAAACGAUGGAUGCUAGCCGUUGGCGAGCUUGCUCGUCAGUGGCGCAGCUAACGCUUUAAGCAUCCCGCCUGGGGAGUACGGUCGCAAGAUUA
rnacentral:rRNA from 1 species